rnacentral:rRNA from 1 species
GAUGAACGCUGGCGGCGUGCCUAAUACAUGCAAGUCGUGCGGGGCGCAGCGAUGCGCCCAGUGGCGAACGGGUGAGUAACACGUAGGUAACCUGCCCAUGUGCCCGGGAUAACGCCUGGAAACGGGUGCUAAAACCGGAUAGGUAUCGCUUCUGCAUGGAAGAGAUAUUAAAGGAGCUGCAAGGCUCUGAACAUGGAUGGACCUGCGGUGCAUUAGCUGGUUGGUGAGGUAACGGCCCACCAAGGCGACGAUGCAUAGCCGGCCUGAGAGGGUGAACGGCCACAUUGGGACUGAGACACGGCCCAAACUCCUACGGGAGGCAGCAGUAGGGAAUUUUUCGUCAAUGGGGGCAACCCUGAACGAGCAAUGCCGCGUGAGUGAGGAAGGUCUUCGGAUCGUAAAGCUCUGUUGC